CACAUCGACGGGGAGGUUUGGCACCUCGAUGUCGGCUCAUCGCAUCCUGGGGCUGGAGCAGGUCCCAAGGGUAUGGCUGUUCGCCAUUUAAAGAGGUACGUGAGCUGGGUUUAGAACGUCGUGAGACAGUUCGGUCCCUAUCUACCGUGGGCGUUGGAGACUUGAGGGAAGCUGUUCUUAGUACGAGAGGACCGGAAUGGACACACCUCUGGUGUUUCGGUUGUGACGCCAGUCGCAUUGCCGAGUAGCUAUGUGUGGAAAGGAUAACCGCUGAAAGCAUCUAAGCGGG
rnacentral:rRNA from 1 species